AUUGAACGCUGGCGGCAUGCCUUACACGUGCAAGUCGAACGGCAGCACGGGAGCAAUCCUGGUGGCGAGUGGCGAACGGGUGAGUAAUGUAUCGGAACGUGCCCAGUCGUGGGGGAUAACGUAGCGAAAGCUACGCUAAUACCGCAUACGAUCUAUGGAUGAAAGCGGGGGACCGUAAGGCCUCGCGCGAUUGGAGCGGCCGAUAUCAGAUUAGGUAGUUGGUGGGGUAAAGGCCUACCAAGCCGACGAUCUGUAGCUGGUCUGAGAGGACGAACAGCCACACUGGGACUGAGACACGGCCCGGACUCAUACGGGAGGCAGCAGUGGGGAAUUUUGGACAAUGGGCGCAAGCCUGAUCCAGCAAUGCCGCGUGCAGGAUGAAGGCCUUCGGGUUGUAAACUGCUUUUGUACGGAGCGAAAAGGCUCUCUCUAAUACAGGGGGCUCAUGACGGUACCGUAAGAAUAAGCACCGGCUAACUACGUGCCAGCAGCCGCCGUAAUAC
rnacentral:rRNA from 1 species